rnacentral:rRNA from 1 species
AUUGAACGCUGGCGACAUGCCUUACACAUGCAAGUCGAACGGCAGCACGGGUGCUUGCACCUGGUGGCGAGUGGCGAACGGGUGAGUAAUACAUCGGAACAUGUCCUGUAGUGGGGGAUAGCCCGGCGAAAGCCGGAUUAAUACCGCAUACGAUCUACGGAUGAAAGCGGGGGCCCUUCGGGCCUCGCGCUAUAGGGUUGGCCGAUGGCUGAUUAGCUAGUUGGUGGGGUAAAGGCCUACCAAGGCGACGAUCAGUAGCUGGUCUGAGAGGACGACCAGUCACACUGGGACUGAGACACGGCCCAGACUCCUACGGGAGGCAGCAGUGGGGAAUUUUGGACAAUGGGCGAAAGCCUGAUCCAGCAAUGCCGCGUGUGUGAAGAAGGCCUUCGGGUUGUAAAGCACUUUUGUCCGGAAAGAAAUCCUUGGCCCUAAUACGGUCGGGGGAUGACGGUACCGGAAGAAUAAGCACCGGCUAACUACGUG